AGAGUUUGAUCCUGGCUCAGAUUGAACGCUGGCGGCAGGCCUAACACAUGCAAGUCGAGCGGUAGAGAGAAGCUUGCUUCUCUUGAGAGCGGCGGACGGGUGAGUAAUGCCUAGGAAUCUGCCUGGUAGUGGGGGAUAACGUUCGGAAACGGACGCUAAUACCGCAUACGUCCUACGGGAGAAAGCAGGGGACCUUCGGGCCUUGCGCUAUCAGAUGAGCCUAGGUCGGAUUAGCUAGUUGGUGAGGUAAUGGCUCACCAAGGCGACGAUCCGUAACUGGUCUGAGAGGAUGAUCAGUCACACUGGAACUGAGACACGGUCCAGACUCCUACGGGAGGCAGCAGUGGGGAAUAUUGGACAAUGGGCGAAAGCCUGAUCCAGCCAUGCCGCGUGUGUGAAGAAGGUCUUCGGAUUGUAAAGCACUUUAAGUUGGGAGGAAGGGUUGUAGAUUAAUACUCUGCAAUUUUGACGUUACCGACAGAAUAAGCACCGGCUAACUCUGUGCCAGCAGCCGCGGUAAUACAGAGGGUGCAAGCGUUAAUCGGAAUUACUGGGCGUAAAGCGCGCGUAGGUGGUUUGUUAAGUUGGAUGUGAAAUCCCCGGGCUCAACCUGGGAACUGCAUUCAAAACUGACUGACUAGAGUAUGGUAGAGGGUGGUGGAAUUUCCUGUGUAGCGGUGAAAUGCGUAGAUAUAGGAAGGAACACCAGUGGCGAAGGCGACCACCUGGACUAAUACUGACACUGAGGUGCGAAAGCGUGGGGAGCAAACAGGAUUAGAUACCCUGGUAGUCCACGCCGUAAACGAUGUCAACUAGCCGUUGGAAGCCUUGAGCUUUUAGUGGCGCAGCUAACGCAUUAAGUUGACCGCCUGGGGAGUACGGGCCGCAAGGUUUA
rnacentral:rRNA from 1 species